ACGAAGGGGGCUAGCGUUGUUCGGAAUUACUGGGCGUAAAGCGCACGUAGGCGGACUGAUAAGUCAGGGGUGAAAUCCCGGGGCUCAACUCCAGAACUGCCUUUGAUACUGAGGAUCUUGAGUUCGGGAGAGGUGAGUGGAACUGCGAGUGUAGAGGUGAAAUUCGUAGAUAUUCGCAAGAACACCAGUGGCGAAGGCGGCUCACUGGCCCGAUACUGACGCUGAGGCACGAAAGCGUGGGGAGCAAACAGGA
rnacentral:rRNA from 1 species